rnacentral:ncRNA from 1 species
UUGAACACGUUGAUAAGGACAGUCUCUGUCAGGUAACCUCAACAGCGAGCGGGAACGGUGUAAGCCCGUGAGGCGAGACGGAAGAAAAUCCCCUUGGAGUGAAGAGCUGAAAUCUGAGUAAGUUCUUUCGGCUUGUCUCCGUUAAAAGACUUCCAAGUGGCUUUAUAUAGCGACAAGGGUGGUAAUGCGAGUGAUCUCGUCCCUUUU